rnacentral:rRNA from 1 species
UUGGGCCUACGGGGGGCAGCAGUGGGGAAUAUUGCACAAUGGGGGAAACCCUGAUGCAGCGACGCCGCGUGAGUGAGGAAGUAUUUCGGUAUGUAAAGCUCUAUCAGCAGGGAAGAAAAUGACGGUACCUGACUAAGAAGCCCCGGCUAACUACGUGCCAGCAGCCGCGGUAAUACGUAGGGGGCAAGCGUUAUCCGGAUUUACUGGGUGUAAAGGGAGCGUAGACGGAGGAGCAAGUCUGGAGUGAAAGGCGGGGGCCCAACCCCCGGACUGCUCUGGAAACUGUAUGGCUGGAGUGCCGGAGG